rnacentral:rRNA from 1 species
ACGGAAGGCAGCAGUGGGGAAUUUUUCGCAAUGGGGGCAACCCUGACGAAGCAAUGCCGCGUGGAUGAUGAAGUCUCUUGGGACGUAAAAUCCUUUCGACAGGGACGAAACCGCAAGGUUGACGGUACCUGUAGAAGAAGCCCCGGCUAACUCCGUGCCAGCAGCCGCGGUAAUACGGGGGGGGCAAGCGUUGUUCGGAAUUACUGGGCGUAAAGGGUGCGUAGGCGGCUCUCUAAGUCGGAUGUGAAAACUCUGGGCUCAACCCAGAGCCUGCAUCCGAAACUGGAGGGCUAGGGUUCUGGAGGGGAAAGCGGAAUUCCUGGUGUAGCGGUGAAAUGCGUAGAUAUCAGGAGGAACACCGGUGGCGAAGGCGGCUUUCUGGACAGAUACCGACGCUGAGGCACGAAAGCUAGGGGAGCAAACAGGAUUAGAUACCCUGGUA